ACACGUGGGUAACCUGCCUAUAAGACUGGGAUAACUCCGGGAAACCGGGGCUAAUACCGGAUAACAUUUUGCACCGCAUGGUGCGAAAUUGAAAGGCGGCUUCGGCUGUCACUUAUAGAUGGACCUGCGGCGCAUUAGCUAGUUGGUGAGGUAACGGCUCACCAAGGCGACGAUGCGUAGCCGACCUGAGAGGGUGAUCGGCCACACUGGGACUGAGACACGGCCCAGACUCCUACGGGAGGCAGCAGUAGGGAAUCUUCCGCAAUGGACGAAAGUCUGACGGAGCAACGCCGCGUGAGCGAUGAAGGCCUUCGGGUCGUAAAGCUCUGUUGUUAGGGAAGAACAAGUAUGAGAGUAACUGCUCGUACCUUGACGGUACCUAACCAGAAAGCCACGGCUAACUACGUGCCAGCAGCCGCGGUAAUACGUAGGUGGCAAGCGUUAUCCGGAAUUAUUGGGCGUAAAGCGCGCGCAGGUGGUUUCUUAAGUCUGAUGUGAAAGCCCACGGCUCAACCGUGGAGGGUCAUUGGAAACUGGGAGACUUGAGUGCAGAAGAGGAAAGUGGAAUUCCAUGUGUAGCGGUGAAAUGCGUAGAGAUAUGGAGGAACACCAGUGGCGAAGGCGACUUUCUGGUCUGUAACUGACACUGAGGCGC
rnacentral:rRNA from 1 species